rfam:Clostridium colicanis DSM 13634 CLCO_contig000074, whole genome shotgun sequence.
GAUCAAGUAAAAAAGGGCGCACGGUGGAUGCCCUGGCACUAGGAGCCGAUGAAGGACGUGAUAAGCUGCGAUAAGCUGCGGGUAGAUGCAAAUAAUCUGUGAUCCGCAGAUUUCCGAAUGGGGAAACCCACUUAGCUAACGCUAAGUACUAUAUGCUGAAUACAUAGGCAUAUAGAGGUACACCUGGGGAACUGAAACAUCUAAGUACCCAGAGGAAGAGAAAGAAAAUUCGAUUCCCUAAGUAGCGGCGAGCGAAAGGGGAAGAGCCCAAACCAGAAACUUCGUUUCUGGGGUUGUGGAUAGAUCAUAACGCUUUGAUUUUCUUAGCCGAAUAGAACUGGAAAGUUCAGUCGUAGAAGGUAAUAACCCUGUAGGCGAAAAGAAAAGAUAAG